rnacentral:lncRNA from 1 species
AACAGAAGAAACAGUGGCUUGAGCCUCUUCUUCAAGGGAACAUUACCUCUUGCUUCUGUAUGACAGAACCUGAUGUAGCUUCAAGUGAUGCCACGAAUAUUGAAUGCAGCAUCCAACGAGAUGAAGAUAGCUAUGUAAUUAACGGCAAAAAAUGGUGGAGCAGUGGAGCUGGGAAUCCCAAGUGCAAAAUUGCAAUUGUUUUGGGAAGAACUCAAAAUACUUCUCUCUCCAGAUCACAGCCUGCAUCAGACUAUGUUGGUGUACGUCUUUUACACAGUUCCCAUUCCAGUCAUCACUGCUUACAUGACUACAUGAAAACAUCAAAAAGACAAUUGUGAUUCUGCUUAUUAUCUGUUUUAUUUUUCUUCUUAGCAAACUUUUUCUAAUACAAUUUUUCUUUUGACUAGACACAAACAGCACAGCAUGAUUCUUGUUCCCAUGAACACACCUGGAGUAAAAAUAAUAAGGCCUUUGUCAGUUUUUGGCUACACAGGUAGGUAUCCAAUAAAUAUGACCAUGCAUUAGCAAGCAGGAAGGCUAGAAUAUGCAGUAACAUUGAAGGCAAUAGCAUUUUAAUGCAUAAGAUAGAUUCUUAGAUAUUCCUUUGUCUGUGACAACUGUCUUAAUAUAAAUGCUGGUGGAGUUCAGAGUAGAGCCAAUAAAAAGAAAUAGUAUAGCAUUUAUGUAAUUUAUAAUUAUAUAAAUUAUAGAAUUUAUAGAAUAUAAAUUCUGCCUUUUUG